rnacentral:rRNA from 1 species
GAGUUUGAUCAUGGCUCAGGAUGAACGCUGGCGGCAUGCUUUACACAUGCAAGUUGAACGAAUUAAAGUUUUCGAAUUUUAGUUAAGUAGCGAACGGGUGAGUAAAACGUAAGAAUCUAUUUUUAGGUGAGGAAUAACUAAUGGAAACGUUAGCUAAUACCUUAUAAACUGAGAAGUGAAAAACUAAAAAUUGCCUAAAAGUGAGCUUGCGCCUGAUUAGCUUGUUGGUAAGAUAAUCGCUUACCAAAGCGACGAUCAGUAGUUGAUCUAAGAGGAUAAUCAACCACACUGGGACUGAGAUACGGCCCAGACCUCUACGGAGGGCAGCAGUGAGGAAUUUUCCGCAAUGGGCGAAAGCCUGACGGAGCAAUGCCGCGUGAAGGAUGAAGGCCUAUGGGUCGUAAACUUCUUUUCUUAAUGAAGAAAUAAGACGGUAAUUAAGGAAUAAGCAUCGGCUAACUCCGUGCCAGCAGCCGCGGUAAUACGGAGGAUGCAAGCGUUAUCCGGAAUUAUUGGGCGUAAAGGGUUUGUAGGCUACUUUUUAAGUCUACUGUUAAAGAAUAAGACUUAACCUUAGAAAAGCAGUAUGAAACUAAAAGGAUAGAGUUCAGUAGGGGUAGAGGGAAUUCUCGGUGUAGUAGUGAAAUGCGUAGAUAUCGAGAGGAACACCAAUAGCGAAAGCACUCUACUAGGCUGUAACUGACGCUAAGAAACGAAAGCUAGGGGAGCCAAUGGGAUUAGAUACCCCAGUAGUCCUAGCUGUAAACGAUGGAUACUAAGUAUUGGAUAAUAAAAAAUUCAGUGCUGUAGCUAACGCGUUAAGUAUCCCGCCUGGGGAGUAUGCCCGCCAAGGGUGGAAACCUCAAAGGGAAUUGACGGGGGCCCGCCACAAGCGGUGGGAGCAUG